CAUUUUCUUCUUUAGUAGCAGCGAAAUAUAAAAAGUUUGGCCACAGGAAGGGCCGGCUAUACCAAUAUACCCAAAAUAUCAGAUAGGAAAAUCUUCAGGAAUAAAAACCUCAAAGAAGAUAAAUAGUUUAGAAAACACCGUCAAACGGCUAUAAACAAAUAAACAAAGCAGCAACAAAGCAAUUUAAUUAGUCACGGAGGAAAUAAAGGGAAAGAAAAGUUAUUGCUAUAAUAAAUGUAAAUAUGUAUAAACUCCACAAAGAGUGAAAUAGAGGCGACAAAGAGUACAAGCAUUAAUAGAUCAUAACGACAGAGAGAAAAUUAGGAAUACCCAUUGCCAAAUGUUGCUAAUCAUAUAUCAAGUCCAUUGUCCCCUUAUACCUAUUUAUGUCGUUAGCGAAGAGUCAGAUAUAAGGGCAAGGUCGGGAAUUAUCGUGCGGUUCAGCGAAUCAAGGUUUUUAAACAAAUUGAGCCUUCGGUUUCUUUUAAGGAUUACAAACUUCCGUCUAAGCCUAACUGAGAACGAAGGAAACACCCACAGCUUCAGCUUUGCUAGAACAACAUCGUUCCCUGAGACAACAGCUAAUAAAGCGCGACAGAAGUUUCUCGAAUUUGGUUCGCGCCACCGACGUAUUGGUUGUGCUUCUGUGAACUGCCAUCUCUUAAAGCCGUGCAGUAGUCAGGAUGCUUCUGAAACGUGCUGCUGUUCAUAAGCAGCAAAUUUCUGUCCCGCAUAUCUAUCUAUAAUAAUCAUGUAGGAGAGAGAGAGAAGAAAAUAAGAGCGACACAAAUGAGACUUUCCAUGGUAACAUUUUGUUGGUCAUCCUGUACUAGGGCAAGGGUUAAAUUGAUCAAAAAGUACGAGACGGCGGCACGAGAUAAGAAAGUAAGCACGAGGAAACGUGCAAGAACUUCUACACCAUGCCACGAGUUCGCAUGUCUUUUGACAAAGCGAAAAAGAGCUUUCAUGCUCCGAACACUGUGGACCAGUGUACUGAAGUGAAUUCCGGAGUUUUACAUGCCAAAACUUCAAUUUGAUUAUGAGGCACGCCGCAGUGGCGAACUGCUGAUUAAUUGUGGCCACCCUGGUAUCUCUAACGUGCCCCCAAUUCACGGGACACGAGCGUUUAGGCAUUUCGCCCCCAUCGAAAUGCGGCCGCCGCGGCCGGGAUUCAAUCCCGCGACCUCGUGCUUAGCAGCACAUCACCAUAGCUGCCAAGCCACCGCGGCUGGUUCUGGACCAGUGUACCAAAAUUUUGGCGGGACACUGGGCACCAGUUCAAUCUGUCUAGCGCUAUCACGGGAUAUUUGCGCACUUGUAGCGAGGGUGGCUGUACUGUAGCCAAUAUUUCAACCAAUCCCAACCCUUUUAUGGGCAAGAACGCUCUCAAAACUGAGCCGCUGAUUGCUUGGCGCCAUGCGCAUACUUUUCGCAAAGCUGUGGGUAUUAAGGGAGACAGAUAAGUUACCUAUCAUUUCCUUCGUCUCUUACUAUUUCUGUCUCAAUUUUUUCUUAGUAAAGCACGAUUGAAGUCUGCUAGAUAGCUGCCGCCGUGCAAGUCUCGCCCUUGGCCUGCAAUAUUUCGUGCGCCUCUUUUUACAAGUGCGUCGUAGGCCGCGCAGGCGGGUGCAUUAGCUUUCUGUUGCUUUCAUCAUUUUCACGGCUGCUAUCCAAAGUAGCGAGUACGCGUGCACAUCACGCGUUGCUGCGUGUGCACGGCCCUGUCCACUUUGUGCAUUUACUUCAAACUGUGCGUAAUUUUUUUUAAACGAGUAAGCUGUGCCCCUGAUCUGCGAACGUAUACCUGUACACCGACUUGCUGGCUUAACCUCUGACCUGACGUGUUUCUCGCGGCAGUAUGCGUGUCCUCUACACGGAAACCGCGGGGGCCCCUGCUGACACAUGCGACCUUGUGAGACGUUGAAACAGAUGGCUAGACGCUGUCUGGGCUGUCAUUGCGCGAAGCAGCCCUCUUCUUUACGACACCUCGGCCUUCGAGAACCAUAUGCAGACGCUCAGAAGAAGGAUAGGCGUAUCUCAGGCGGCCGAUGAUUAUACUGGCAGCCAAUCCUUGUACCCUUUAGCCAUGAGAACUGUGGUGCUGUUGUGCUGACAACACUAGCUUUGAAGGGCUGAACUUGGAAGUUUCUUAUGCUAACAGGUCGGUUAGCGGCGAGUUACGGAUCGAUGCCGAGAGAUGCUUAAUCUGAAGGAUAGAUAGACGCCUUAUCUCGGCCAUCUAGAGCGGCCGAUGAAUUUCGUUCUGAUAGCUGCGCAAGUUGCGUGGUAUCCCGUAUCUGUAAUUGUUUUUGCUGUGAGUUGUUGAAUAUUAUUUGUUAUAGUUGUGGAGUGCCACGGUAUCCGAAUUUGUUAAAUAAUAAUAAUAUUUGGGGUUUUACGUGCCAAAACCACUUUCUGAUUAUGAGGCAUGCCGUAGUGGAGGACUCCGGAAAUUUUGACCACCUGGGGUUCUUUAACGUGCACCUAAAUCUAAGCACACGGGUGUUUUCGCAUUUCGCAUCUGAAUUUGUUAAUAACCUGUUUCAGUGGAGCAGUGGCUCAGUGGCUAUGGAAUACUACUUCUGAGAACGAGGUCGCGGAUUCGAUUCCAGUCUGUGACGGUCACUUUCAAAUAGAGGGCAGAAUGCAAAAAAAAAGAAAAACAUAAAGAAAGACGCGCGUGUACUGUGCGUGGGGUGCAGGUAAAAGGACUGCGGUAGGCCAAAAUUAUUCCAAAGGCGGCGGCCCUCAUAAUAUCACUCUGUGGUUUCGUGGUGUUUAACUCGUAGAUUUUGAAAGAAAAAGUGUUACGAUGCGCGGUUUGGUAUGAAGCCACUUGAACUACAGUGAAAGUGAAAUUAGAGAGCUAUCGUACAGAGCCACCUGCAAAAAUUACUGGUGGGAACUCUGGCGCCACGAUGGUUCAGCUACCACGUGAAUUGUGGUUAAUGCUUGGAUAUAUCUAAGCACUCUUGUGGCUUCAAACGUUCUCGUGACACCAUUUAUUACACCUUACCUUUCUAAGUUCAUAAACGCUCAUACUUUACUCUUUAACCCAGUUAGGCAGUGCGUCUCUGCACGCAUCAUUGAUUAUAUUCAAUUGUGGUAUACGUAACGCAAUAGUUUGUUGAAAAUGAUUAAGUUAAAAAAAAACACAAAGCCGUCUGAGGCCAUAAGGACGAGGUUCAGGCAAAUCCACCUGCCAUUUAUUAUUCUCGUGAUGGCUUAACCACCAUACUUGCAGCGUCGGUCGGUACACAUUUGCGUGAGAGAUCCGUGUGGUAAUUUUUGAGGGGCAUUGUUUAAGAGACCCGUGCAUCCUUCCUCUUCUUGGACAAAACAAAGAAUGUGGGCCAAGCUACACACAUAGCGGACAUUAGUAUGCUUCGGCGCUUUUAUGCGUCACGAAUAGCGCAUAUUUCAUGAGGUGCUUAGGCGAGACCAUAGUGCGGCGCGCGCGUUAUGCAUUCCUACUUGCGCUCUCUCUGGACAGCUUUGUUUCGGGUGGCAUUGUCAUUUUGUCUUGCGUAAAAGCGCAGCAUCAAGAUUACAGUAUUUCGCUGAAUGCUCGACAAUGAGCACACAUGUGACCGUUAAGCAAAUCAAUUGUAGUUCCUGCACGAUACAGAUAAUUACAGGCUGCAUUUGAUGUUCUUGCAUCGCCGGUAUGCUUCGCGAAAAAAAAGAAAGAAAAAAAAACCAAUGUCUGCACUUCUGACAAACAACUGUCUUUGCCAAGCACUGACUGUAUCUUCGUGACGCUAAAGCUUCGUGGCGAAAAUGAUCAUAAUCAUGCGAUGAGAAAAAAAGAUCUAGAAUAAAAUUUGGAACACGAAAAGGCACCGUGUAGAUAAAGUCGGAACCACAGGAAUUUUCUUUUUUAAAGAUUGACAGCCAACAGCGCCACGACAACGUCGACGAAAGGCGAGCGCUAAAAUCAAUACUGGCCCAGGGCACAUGUCGUAUAGUUUGAGCCACAGUGCACAGCAUUCUUUAACCAGAGGCCUGAUGAUGAAGCAGCUCUCGCUACCAAUGAGGGGCGCGUCAACGCUAACAAGUGAUAGAAUCGGAAGGAACGGAGCGAAACGGCUUGGAGCGUUCGGCCUUCAGUAGUGAACUUUACGAGCGUGCCCUUCUGAACGCUUCAAAAGCUACAUUGCUUUGCAAGCGAUAGCGGCGCGUCAACGAUGGACGCUGAAAAAAGGAACCGCAAUGCUGACACAUUGCUGCGCGCCGUGCUGCCCAUAAAACGGAAAUUGGGAUGCCGAAGAAAAAAAGGU